AUACUAAAGGUAGAUUCAGCAUCAUGUAGAAGUUGAGGAAGUCGACUCGUCGGCACUGAUUCCAAGGAAUAACGCUUAUUCUCAAUAAGGUAGGAACUUGCAUAAGUAGUAACUCUCACUAAAAAACCCAAAGGCUAUGGCAAAAACUCGAGUAGGGACAAAAUCCAUAGUCUAAGGAAAAAUGUAUGAGAAAUGCAAAGUUAAAAGAAACGUUUACAGGACGUCAUCAGGGAUAUGACCAGCCCAAGGUGGGUCCUCAUUAAAACCUAGUUAGGUAGCAAAAACCCAUUGGAAAAAAUGCUCCUAAUCGUAGGGAAAAAGAGUACAUUAAGAUCAAGCAAGUAUCUACAUGAUACUCCCCCUGAGUUUGACAUAAUUCCAAAGAGAAAUAGCAAAGUUACAACUUAGAAAGUUUACGCAUACCAAUUCCAUGAACAAGCUUCUGAAACGUCGCAUUCGGCAGUGAUUUGGUGAAGAGGUCGGCCAGAUUAUCUUGCGAACGGAUUUGCGUGACUUCAAUCUUCUGAUGCUCUUGUUGUUAAUGUGUAAAGAAAAACUUCUGCACAAUGUGCUUGGUGUUGUCUCCUUUGAUGUAACCCUUAUUGAGCUGUUCGAUGCAACCUGCGUUGUCCUAAAAAAUUGUCGUCGGGGCAUUAACGGCGGGAUGAAGAUCGCAAGAGCUUCAAAUAUGGCCCACUACUGCUCUUAACCAAAAGCAUUCUUGAGUUGCUUCAUGUAAGGCGAGAAUUUCAGCAUGGUUAGACGAAGUGGCAACUAAGGACUGUUUAGUUGACUACCAAGAGAUUGCAGUGCCUUCAACGGUAAAGACAUAACCCGUUUGAGAACGCGCCUUGUGCUGAUCGGAUAAGUAUCUAGCGUCGGCAUAACCAAUAAGGUGAGAAUCAACCCGAUGAGCAUAGGGUGCGGCAUCACUUGAGGAUUCGUAGGGAUAGAACAAGCCCAAAUCCGUAGUACCCUUAAGGUAAUAGAAGAUGUCUUUCACGCCAGUCUAAUGUCUGUGUGUUGGUGCAUUGCUGUAUCUUGCCAAAAGAUUAACAGCGAAGGUGUCGGGUCUAGUGCAUUGAGCUAAGUACAAUAAAGUGCCUAUCACACUUAGAUAAGGAACUUCAGGCUCCAAAAUCUCUUCAUCAUCCUCUUUUGGACGGAAGGGAUCUCGUUUUACAUCUAGUGUACGAACGACCAUAGGAGUACUGGAAGACUUCGCUUUAUCUUCAUUCAAACGGCACAACUUUUUGGGUGUAGUUCGAUUGAUGUACUAGGAUUCCAUCCGAACAAUGCUCUAUAUCGAGACUGAGACAGUAUUGAGUCUUACCUAGAACUUUCAUCUCAAAUUCUGACUUCAGGUGCGAAGCAGUUCUCGUGAGCUCUUCACGAGUUCCGAUGAGAUUCAUGUCAUUGACAUAUACUGCAACAAUCGUAAAUCCGGAAUGUGACUUUUUAAUGAACACACAAGGGCAUAGUUCGUUGUUCACAUAUCCCUGACUAGUCAAAUACUCACUUAGACAGUUAUACCACAUUAUUCCAGAUAGUUUCAAAUCGUAGAGUGAACGCCUCAACCAAAUUGAGAGCGUGUUCUGAGGUUUGGAAAUAUUUGAACCAGUCAAUGUAAGUCAUUCGGGAACUUUCAUAUAAAUUUCCGUAUCAAGAUCCCCAUAGAGAUACGUGGUUACUACGUCCAUCAGCUGCAUAUCCAGUUUUUCAGAAACUACCAGACUGAUAAGGUAGCGAAAAGUAAUCACAUCCAUAACGAGUGAGUAAGUUUCAUCAUAGUCAAUCCCGGGACGUUGCGAGAAACCUUGUGCUACAAGACAAGUUUUGUAACGCACAAUCUCGUUUUUCUCAUUAUGCUUCCGAACGAAAACCCACUUGUAGCCAAUGGGCUUCAUAUGUGGAGGAGUAGGAACUACAGGUCCAAACACCUUACGUUUCGCAAGUGAAUCGAGUUCGACUUGGAUUGCUUGUUUCCAAUUUGACCAAUCAACUAUACGUUGACAUUUAUCAACGGAACACGGUUCAAUGUCCUUACUUAAUAUGAUCUCAGUAGUUACUGUAAAUGCUAAUGCAUCAUCGAUAAUCAUCUCAUUUCUACGCUACAUCAUCUAAGCUAGUAUAAGAGACCAAAAUCUCAUGAUUCUCAGGAGGAGGAUUCGUCUCUUCAAGAACGCUUCCGUAAUCUAGAAUUUCCUCAUGAGUUGGGUAGAAUGAGUAAGCGAUAUUCAGAUUCACGGUAGGCUCUUCAGGACCUUAUGCCGUGGUUUUCCUCUUCCAGGGGUGUGAAUCCUUUGAACCAAGGGGUCUGCCACGUUUUUGUGUAGGGGCAGAUGAUUGGCUAGCCGCUAAUGUACGUGGAUCACCAGAAUUGACAUCCCGGGCUUCCAGAAGGGCAGUCCGUCGUACAUUUGGUACAUCCAUCUUUGCAGGCGUAUUCGCAGCUGGAAUAUGUGAUCUUGUCACGCGCGCUAGAUUGGUGAAAGCAUCUGGCAUGCUCUAAGCUAUGCUCUGGAGAUCUAAUAUGUGCUGCACUUCAGCUUCGAACUGAGGAGUGCGGGGAUCUAAAUGAGACAAAGUGGAAGUCAUCCACAAUAAUUUGUGUCGUUCAUUAGGAACAUUGAUGUUCUUAUCUCUCCAUAACGGCGGGAAGACUGUCUCAUAGAAGUGACAAUCAGCAAAACGAGCGGUAAACAGAUCGUCUGUCAAAGGUUCUAAGUAACGAAUAAUUGAAAGAGAAUCAUAUCCGACAUAGAUUCCCAUCCUUCGCUGAAGCCUUAUUUUUGUACGUAAGGGCGGCGAGAUCAGCACAUAUACCGCACAACAAAAAACGCACAGAUGCGAUAUAUCGGGUUCGCAUCCAGUGACCAACUGAAGGGCACUAAAUGGUUGUGUCGCAAUAAGCCUUAGGCGGACUAACUUUGCUGCGUGCAAUAUUGCAUGGUCCCAAGCAGCGAUCGGGAACUUGGUACGUAUGACCAAUGAUCGAGCAAUCAUUUGUAAGCAUUUAACGAAAGCCUCUGCCAGGCCGUUCUUGGUGUGAACAUGGGGUACAUGAUGUUCAUCUUCAAUCCCAACUGACAUGCAAUAGUCAACAAAAGUUUUAGAUGUGAAUUCUCCAACAUUAUCCAAUCGAAUAGAUUUGAUCGGAUAAUCAGAGUGGUGAGCCCUGAGCUUGAUAACCUGAGCCAACAGUUUGGAGAAUGCAACGUUCCUUAUGGAAAACAAGCACACAUGUGCCCAACGUGUGGAAGCGUCAACCAAAAACAUAAAAUAUCUAAAUGGUCCGCAGGGAAGUUGAAUCGGUCCACAAAUGUCCCUCUGAAUCCGUUGUAGAAAAAAUGGGAGGAUUUGAACGAAUCUUGUCAUAAGAAGGCUUAGUAAUAAGCUUUCCCAUAGAACAUGUUUGACAUGCGAUUUCAUGGAUCAAACCUAAGCUUCGGGUUAGUGGAUGCCCGUGUAAAGAUUUGAGGAUACGGCACAUCGCUAUUCGUCCUGGAUGUCCCAAACGAUCAUGCCAAAGCGUAAUUUCGUGCACGGUCCCUGUGGUAGGGCCGGCCACAUAGUGGCAUUCUAUGGGGCGUAUGGUCGUAGUAUAUAGACCACUCGGGAUACGCUCUAUCUUCUUGAGAAUACGCUUCUGGCCAUAUUUGUAGGAAGUUAUGCACAUAAAUUCAACUCCGUUUUCUACGUGGUAAUUGUUAUCUUUAAUGUCCUUGAAACUGAGUAACGUUCUUCUGGAACGUGGAGAAUAGAGUGCCUCAGCAAUGGUCAAGAUUGUACCAUUAAACAACAUUAUACGUGCCUUACCGUAUCCUUCUAUCAGGUUGGAUGGGCUUGAGAGGGUUGUCAGAGAUGCAUUCUUAGGUAUGAAGUUAGUGAAAUAGAUGCGUUCACGCAAAACAGUGUGCGUGGUUGCAUUAUCUGCCAGACAACUAACUUUCCCACUAGUCAUACCUAGAAUGAAAAAUUAAUUUGAAUCGGUCACAUGCAUAAAAGUUUAUAAAAACAAAUAUCAAUUCAAAAAUAAUUUCAUUUAUUCAAGGAUUAAAACUUAAUAUCCAAAACAAAUCGCCAACGAAUAAUCCAAAAACAUAAAGGAAAAUUGUUCAAAAUCAACAAAAAACAAGGGGGGGUUCGGCCACUAGGUAGAAUUCGGCCCCAAUGGUCUUAUUUUAACUAAAAAUAAGUCUAUGUCUAAGAUUCUAAUCUUCCAUAGGGGUGGUAUCCUCCUGAAAGUCAGAAACCUCCAUUUUUGUAGUCUCCAGUUCGUCCACUUGCAUGAAGUUUGAUUCAAAGCUUAAAUUUUUAUUGAAAAAUUAAACCUUAAAAUUUUUUGACAAAUAUUUCGUCAGGCAAGAUUUAUAAUUUAAAAAAAAAAUCUGAAAUUUAAAAGAUAAAUUUUAUUUAAAUCCAUAUAACUUCUUUUUACACCCAACUUAAAUUUUAAAUGUUAAUUGUCAUUUUUAUCCUAUUGCAUAAUUACUAUUAAGUACAAAAUAAAAUUAAUAAUAAAACUCAAAUUUAUCAAUAAACUCACACACUAUAAUUAAACUCUACCAUCACUCUGUGUUUAUCCUACAUUUAUUCCGGCUAAAACCUAAUAGCUCUUAUAGAGAAAAACAAGUUUUUUUAUUGGUGGAUGGUGAUUUUGAACUUUUGAAUCCUCCAUGACUCGAUUUAUGAAUUAUUCAAGACAAAUAAUUAUUUCUUUCAAUUAAUUUACAUCCAAACAUGACAUAACAUGCUAAUGAACCCUAAAAGGGGCUCAUAUUUUAGCACAUUAGAAGGUGAAAUAUCAACCAAGGCAUCUUAGGUAAAGCAUGAUAAGCUGAAAGUGAUUUUUGCAGGUGUGAACGUCACAUCCCGGUCACAACUCCGUCGUAGCACGAUAUUGUCCACUUUGGGCCCCGUUCACUCCCUCACGGUUUUGUUUCUGAGAACUCACACGAGAACUUCCCGAUGUCACCCAUCUUGGGAAUGCUCUCUCUCGAACUCGCUUAACUUCGGAGUUCCAAUGGAAUCCAAAGUCAGUGAGUUCCCAAAAGGCCUCGUGCUAUAAGAGGUGGGCAUGUAUGUAUAAAGCACAUCACCCACUCUUCGUUGGUCGAUGUGAGAUGUUACAAUCCACCCCACUUAAAGGGAACUCGGCGUCCUUGCCGACACAUCCGCACCGAACGGUAGAGUGGCUCUGAUACCAUUCUGUCACAUCCCAGUCUCGGCUCCACCGUAGCACAAUAUUGUCCUCUUUGGGGCCCGGCAACGCCCUCACGGUUUUGUUUCUGGGAACUCACACGAGAACUUCCCAGUGGGUCACCCAUCCUAGGAAUGCUCUCGCCCGAACUCACUUAACUUCGGAGUUCUAAUGGAAUUCGAAACCAGUGAGUUCCCAAAAGGCCUCGUGCUAUAAGAGGUGGGCAUGUACAUAUAAGGCACAUCACCCCCUCUCCGUUGGUCUAUGUGGAAUGUUACACUGAAUAACUAUAAGAAUAUGGGAAAUCAGAAAAAGAUGAACACGCAAAAAUUUAUAAAGUUGGUAGAGAUAUUUAUGAACAAGACAAAUGGGUGUAAAGAUAAAUUUACAUAUUGAAUUGAGUUUGUGAGGUAUUUAAGGUAGUAAAUUUGGGUUUAAAGAGAUAUUGAUAGUUUAGUUAAAAACCAAAUGGGUGUAAAGAGUAAGUUGGGUGUCGAAAGAGGUUACAUGAGUUUAAAUAAAAUUUCCCAAAUCUUAACCCAACGAAUGAUUUCGUGGUAAAAUUUAAUUAAAAAUAACGAUUUAUUUAAUAUUAAAAAAAAUCAAAGGUAUAUUUAAACUUAAUAAACUAAAUCCUAUAAUAUUAAAAUCAUAAUAUUAAACAAAUUUAUUUCAUUAACAAAAACAUAAUGUUUGCACAAUUAUAUUGUAAAUUAAAAAAUAAAUUUAUUCUGAAUGGAAAAUUUGUUCAGUCGUCCAUUAACCCGAAAGACAUCAAUUUUCAAAAUUUAUAAAUCCUGAAAAUUACCACUGAGCCAUUGCCAUUCGUCCAUCCUAUGCUCAAAUUCAAGAGACGAAUGGGUAAGAGCUUCCUCAUGACCUUCAAAAGUUUUGUAGUGGUUGCGUGGCUCAUACUUCCACUCCAUGAACCAAUCAUUCCACAAACGGUUUGUGUAGGCCGUCGUACCUGGUCUUCCACGCCAAUCUCAAAAUUGAUCUAAACUAGAAAAAAAUGAAGUAUUACGCAUAAAAAUACAUUAAGUAAUUAUCUAGAGUAAUUAAAAAUAUUAAAUUAAAAAAAAAAAAAAUUUACCAAGAGAUAUGCCAUCAGCCCUACUUCGUUUCAGGGGAGAUGUUCUUCCAUCUAUCAAUAGUCAUAGGGCACCUUGCUCGGAUGAUGACUCCUAUCUCGUGAGCCAAUAUUGAAUGAACACAGAGGUCCGCCGCAUGCAUAUAUCUUGGGUCAUGUUCUACCCUCACUCUUAGGCCUGGUUUGGUACUGAGGUGAUUCUGAAAAAAGUCCCAGCUUUUUUAUGUUUGGUAAACAUUCAGCUUCAAUUUUUUUUCACAGUUUUGGGUGAAAAAAAACCAAAAACACAAAGCUGCAAAACCCAGCUUUGAAAAACCAGCUUUUUUUCAUAUCUGUUUUAAAUAAAAGUUUAUCAAACACUAUAAUACUGCUUUUUUUUUUCAAAAACAUUUUUACAGAAAAGUUUACUAAACACUCUGCUGCUUUAUUUCACAGCUGCUUAUUUUCACAACACAGCAGAAGCAAUUUUUUUUCAAAACACAGUAAUACCAAAUCAGCCAUUAAGCCAAGAUUCUUCUAGACGCCCCGCUCACGGGGCGUCUUCCAAAACAAACUGUACCCAUUCUCAUAUCACCCAUCCCUAAACCGGACCGCCCUCUUUCUUGAUCCCCACAACAUCAAAUCAUUCCCCCACCUCCCAAACCCUUCCCUCACCAACUCUCCAAUUUUUUCCAACCCAAAUUCUCAUAAUUACAAAUUCAAAAUAAUUGAGGAUAGAUAUCAGACCUUUAAAUUUGUGAGAGUUUGAGAGUUGAAUAGAUGGCAAGUGUGAGAGUUUGAGAGAGGGGAAACGAUUUUGAGUGGGGUAGGGGGCAUUUUGGAGAGAAAAGAGAGAAUAAUCUACGACCUAAUAUAAAACGUCAGGAUUUUGCUCGACGAACCAUUUUAUCGGACAAAUGUCUUAAAUUAAAUAAAAACACACGGUAGAAUGUUAAUUUUUCCGACGAACACAUCCAUCGGCAAGUGUUCUAUAAAAAAAAAAUAGGGCCAAAAUUUUGGCCAAAUAAAUUGUUGAAAAAGCACUUCGGCCGAUGAGUUUUUGGUCAGUCAAUUGGGCAAACCCAAAAUUUGGAGGGAAAUUCGAUUUUUAAGAAAAAAAAUCGGGGGAUAUUUUUCACAUUGCUCGACGAAUUUUAGGUUUGGCGUAACGAAAUUUUAUACUUUGCCCUAUGAAAUUACCUUUUUCCAUCGGGUAAGUAAUAAAAUUAAAAAAUAUCUCCAAAGUUUGAAAUUUUUUUUGGGAACAAUUCAAUGAUAACCGAAUUUGAUGAUCAGGUGUAUUCAAUAUGGGUUUGAACUCUCAAGUAGCAUCUUUAGAAAAAAUAACAUAAAUCAAAAGUGAUAUAGCCGUUAUAUCGUUAUGCUAAGUUUGUAAAUUUCCAACCUUUUGAACCAAUCCCUACUCCCUCCACCUUAGUUUUGAUAGUGUUUUAUGUAUGCAUUCUCGUACUAUACCGAAACAAUUUUGACAAUUGGAUCAUGGAAAAUAAUUUUGUAGAAUUCGUAUCCCCACAAUGCAAUCAUUUUGUGAUAACCACUAUUGUAAGCUUUUUAAUUCAUGAUCCAUUCGAUUCACAUGACAACCAGCAUUUGAAGUUUCGCACAAUGAGUCUUUUAACCCUUAAUCUAUAAAUCGAGAUUUACAAAAUAAACGGUUCGAAUCGUUGAAAUUCGAUUUAAAGUGGAUUCCACAACUUUUAUACAAUUCUAAAUUUUGUAUAAAAUGAUAUAGUAUUUGAGUCAAUUCAUGUAAAUUAUAUUUAACCGUUCCAAUGCCAACAAAGUUGACCCACUUCACUUAUUGCAUUGACUUGACUCAAUACUGGUUUGUUACUAACGUGCUUUUAUAAAAAGUGAGUAUAAAAAAAAACUGAGCUCAAAAAUGUGUUUGGUAAACACUUAAAAACAUCUUAUUUUCACAGUUUUGGGUGAAAAAAAAGCUGAAAACGUGAAGCAACAUAAAUGUCGAAUUAUGAUUUCUUGUUAAACGUUGAAUUAUGAUUUUUUGUUAAACGUUGAAUUAUGUGUUUAAGAUAAAGUUUAUAAAUAUUUUUCUUUUAAAAAAAUUAUUUUUAGUAAUUCACCUUUAUUUGUUAAGAAAAUUAAAUUAAUGGCACAUCUAGUAUUAUACAAUUUUUUGUCAUUUCACAUAGUUACAACUGUUUUACAUAAAAAUUUACCAAACAAUAUAAUACUACUUUUUUUUUCCAAAAGCACUUUUACAAAAAGGUUUACCAAACACAGCUACUUUAUUUCACAACUGCUUAUUCUCACAUGACUUUCUCUGUUCCCGCGAAAGUGUGGAAAUCUAUCAACUUCUCAACCAUCCACAAAAAAAAAAACCCAAUAAAAAAUAGGGAACUUUAAAGAAAAGCUCCCGAUACUGUUCACUUUAACGAAAAACCACAUUUUUACACUAAAAAGUCAAUCUUGGUACUAUUUACUUUACCCUUUAUUUUUUCCUUAUCGUUAAAACUCAAAGUUUUCAAACCCUUUUCAUUAGUUUUGCUUAAAAAAUAUCCCACAAAACAGUAAAUUUAUUAACCGUAGAGAAAAAGGAGACCCACGUACAGGUAAUUUAUUUCAGGAUAAAAAUGUAAGGUAUUUACGUGCGUAAUAAAUAGAUGUCAUAAAAUUGAGACAGUGAAAGUGAGUGCAAAACAAAGGAAAACAGAGGAGGUUAAAAACAAAACUAAAAAAGUUAAUAAAUAUUUGUGUGGGGUUUUCUCAGGUGUGGUGUGCAGUGGCAGCCGUCCCGUCACGACUUUGACAGAAUAUUUACCGCGACAAUCAUCAUCGUCGUCAACAACCACACCCCCACACCAGCUAAUUUUACACAGAAAAAAAGAUAAAAUAGUACCCAAUAAGGCAAUAAAGAAAAACAGAGCGUUUUUUGGUCGGGUUUUGAACUUUUUAUUGUAGCUGGAGCUUCAUUUGCCACUUCAACCGCCUCAUCUGGGUCCCCUUAAACCUUGAUCCAAAAGGGUGUGCAGAAGUUUAAUUUAUCUGGGGUUUGAUAGAUUUUUUCUGGGUUUUGGUUUAUUUUUUUUAGAAGGGGUGGGUGUUCUGAGUGCUGGUUGAGGGCCAUUUUUGUUGGUUUGGGGCAAUUGCUUUUGUGUUUUUGUGAAAGUGCUUUUGGGGAUUGGAAUGUGGAGGGACGCCGGAAUUCCUGCUGAUUCUUUCUAUGAAGUCCGCCCUGAGUGUACAGAUGUGCCCAAAACCCGCUUCAAGAUCAAGGUUUCUCCUUCUGUUCUUUGUUUGAUUGUUGGAAUUAGAUAUAAAGAUUGAUUUUUUGGGUAUCCAUUAUCUUAAUUUUGAUCUGUUUCCCAUUUGAAAACUAAGAUAUUGCCUAAUGCAUCAGAUUUGAUAAUUGGUGGUGAUUAAUUUUGGUUAAGAUCAUGAAUUGUGUUCAUAUGGAUCACAAAAUGUUGUGCAUUUUCCAAUUUUAUAGAAUUUUUGGAAGGAAGAAUGUUGGGGACUGCGUUAAUGUUAACAUUAAUUGGUCAGCUUGUUGAAUUUUGUAAGGAGAAUGUAGGAUAGAUAUAGGGAUUAUUCGGGCGAUAAAAAUCUGAGUUAUCAGGAUCUUGUUGGUUCUCAAUAUGGAUCCGAGAGUCAAUAUGCUCCUACUCGGUAACGCCCACCCAAUAUGUUGGGAAUGGUCUGGUGUUGGUUAUGCACAACUUUAAAUAAAUUCUGAAUGCAUAAACGCUUACGUACACGAACAUGAAAAAGAUAAAUUGUGAGCAUUUAAGGGAAAUAUACCUAUAUCUGCACAAAAAUUUUCCUCAAACUCCAUCAUGUCAGGAUCUUUUAUUUGAAAGUUUUCUGAAGUUUGGACAUUUUUAUCUCUUUCUCCUUCUCCAUUUAUCAAGAUAUGUUUGUAAUGCCAAUUUUUGCUGGAUACCAAAGUACUAUGGAUCUGAACAUUGAUCUAGAUUAUGGUUCAUAGGGGUUAGCUCUUAUAAGAAUCUGAUUUGAUUAUAUUAAGGCUUGUAAACAUUGAGAAACUGAUAAAGACUCAUUGUGUAUUCUAUAAAAUGUGUUUGCAAUUAUCUUAUUACUUCAUAAUGAUUUCAAUGUCUCAUUACCGUGAUGUGCUUCUUCCAAUUUCAACGCCUUAUUUCUAUUUGCUCAUGCAGGCAGGUAAAACUCUUAGUGUAAGGAAAUGGCAGGCUGCAUUUAGUCCUGAAGGCCAACUGGAUAUAGGCAAGACUUUAAGUCGAAUUUAUCGUGGGGUGAGUGAAUCUUCAUAAUUCAUAGCUGCGCCCCUUAGUAUGUUAGAAUUUUCGUUAUAUUUAUAAAAAUCAGUUUUUCAUCCUGUGUAGCUAUCAGAGUGUCUCGACAAUCCUAUCAAUACUCGUCUUUAUGGAAUCACUUUUUUCUGUUUUUGUUGUUGUUGUUUUUUUAUUGUAAAAUCAAAUGAAAAGCCUACCCUUAGCCUGCUUACAUGAUGGGAAAUAUCUACGAAAUCAGAGCCAUCGGUUUAGUGAAAAAAUCAGAUUAACUAUUACUUAAUUUUAUUUAAGUAGUAUUUGCGCAUGAAAUAACAUAGAUGCUUCAUUGUUUGACCUUCCAGCUGUUGUUAGCCUGGUACUAGUUCUUCAUUUUGUGGAUAUCUUUAACUUAUUCUUUUAAAUAGUUUUCCUCAUGAAAUAAUCAAUUUACAAGGCUAGUAGUCAGCUUCAAUCCAUAAUUAUAUUAUAUUUGGCAAUCAGGGAAUUCAUCCAUCAAUUAGAGGAGAAGUUUGGGAAUUUCUACUAGGUUGUUAUGAUCCUAAGAGCACAUUUGACGAAAGAGAGCAGAUUCGGCAAAGUCGAAGGUAUAUCUUGUUUCCUGCCUUACUUGGGUUACUUGAAAUUUAUUUAUUCACUUGCCUUUUUUCUUUCUCUUUAUCUAAUGAAGUUUCCUAGUGGUAGUACACUUGCAAAUGAUGAUAACAGUCUAAGGAGAAAUUUAUUUCUGGUUCAUGUAUCUUUUAGUACUGCAGUCCAAUAUGUUUUGUAAUUCAAAGAUGAUCUUUUGGGAAAUGAAUGGUCAAUACCAUGAGUUGAGUUUUAUAACUUGCAAUGUACCCGAGUAAAUAAAUUUAGUUGACAGCAAUGUUGAAACUUGCUAGCAAAAGACUAAGGGUUUCCUCUUCAUACGAUAGUGAUCCAGACUCCAGCAUCUCUAUUUUGUGUGGGCUGUGUAAAUUCCCAAACUUACAGGCUCUACAUAAUGUUAUCUUGUCAGAUUCCAACAUGUUAUGCUUCACCUGUCCCGUUAUUCGGUUUUAUUUAUGAAGUAUCAUGUUUUGCCAUUUUCAGAGUGCAAUAUGCUAGGUGGAAGGAAGAUUGCUGCCAAAUGUUUCCUGUUGUUGGGAGUGGUAGGUUUAUCACUGCCCCCGUAAUCACUGAAAAUGGUCAACCCAUUCAGGAUCCCAUAGUACUUUCACAAAUAAAUCCAGACAAGGGUUCUCAGGAUAAUGGUUCAAGCACAAACCGUAAUAAUGCUAUGGAACCAGUAAUGGACAAAAAAGUAAUCCAGUGGAUGCUUACUCUACACCAAAUAGGUUUGUGAUAUAUUUAUGUGUUCAUAUUUUAAUAUGCAUCCUAUGGUUAUUUUGGAGGAAUAUGUUUUUCUUAUGGUCCGGCAUUUUUUCUUUUUGUUGUUGGAUGUACAACUCAGACUUUUUUAUUGUUCAAUUCUCUGUUUUCGUCACGUCUUUACAUAACCUACCUGCAAGAUGUGAAAAGUACUGAACAUGAUGGAUUGCAGAAUUUUUCAUGUUUUAUCUUGAUAGGGUAGAUAACUUUUCUGUUUGUCUUUAUUUGUAUGCCAGGUCUUGACGUGAUUCGUACUGACAGGACACUAGUAUUUUAUGAGAAGCAAGAGAACUUAUCAAAACUUUGGGAUAUUCUAGCUGUUUAUGCCUGGAUAGAUACAGAUGUUGGCUAUUGUCAAGGUUGGUAACAUAAGAGUGAUCAUUUUAGUACUGAUUGCAUCCCUUCCCUACACUUUGGGAAGGGACAAUAUUUUCAUAUUUGAUUUUUUCAAACGAAAAGAAAAUUAUGUUUCUAAACUCCACAAUUCAUGACGUGAUGAUCAGGAAUGAGUGAUCUUUGCUCCCCCAUGAUUAUCCUUCUAGAUGAUGAAGCAGAUGCAUUUUGGUGCUUUGAACGAUUGAUGCGCAGACUGGUAAAACUUUGAGCUAAAUCUUCGACUUUGUUUUUCAUUCUGGUGUUGCAUCAAAUCAAUGCCUAUCAUGUGUGUCUAAAAACUAGGGUUGCUAAGCUCUUCUUUCCAGAAAUUAACAGAGGAGAUGUGCAAUCUUAAAUCCAUGUAUUAAUGAGAUUCUUUAGAAGUUUUUGUUGAUAUCCUUCUGUUUUUGAAAAAUUGCUACAAUAUUUUUUUUUUCAUUUGAAGUUACAUGCUGUUUCUUUAAAGCUACAAAGUUAUUUGGUGACGGUUAAUUUGGAUUCCAGUUUCUUAUGACUUGUUCUUAUUUGAAAUUUAAAGCGAGGAAAUUUCAGAUGUACCGAUAGCUCUGUUGGGGUGGAGGUGCAACUAAGUAAUCUGGCUUCAAUUACUCAAGUCAUUGAUCCAAAACUUCAUGAGCACUUAGGUAUUGUCUUUUUAAUUUGUUGUUUACAAUUUAUGUCCAUUUACUUGUCAAACAUAGAGAAAAUAUAUGUUUCUUUAUCAAAAAAUUUGGAGACAUCAUAUGCGAUUUUCAUCAUAUUUAAUUAUUCAUAAUCUUCUUCUCAGAAAUGAUCAUGAAAAUACAUGUUCGCCAACCGUUUGGAAGAUAUUCGAUACAUUUAUUUAAGGAAAAAAAAUGUACCGUUUAUUAGGAUUUAAAUAUCAAAUUGGCUAUGUUUGUGUCAUGUUUCUCUUACAUCGCUCAACAUAUUGCUCAAAAAUGAGGGAGAUAGUAACAGAUAUGCUUAAUUCGGAGUGCAGAGACACUAGGUGGAGGUGACUAUUUAUUUGCUUUCCGGAUGCUUAUGGUUUUGUUCCGUCGAGAAUUCUCUUUUUGUGAUUCUUUAUACCUUUGGGAGGUGAGAAUAAGUUACUGUUAGUAACUUUCUGAUAUUUUUCUGUUCUCCCUUUUGGAUUUUUUUUAUUAUAUCUAAUUAUUGCAUGUAUAAAUACUUUUACAGAAUCCUUGAAAUUAUUUCUGGGAACCCACUUCAUUCUUUCCUAAGUAAUCAAAAUUUUCUCCAUAAUUCCACUUAUAUAUAGUUCCUUGAAUUUUAAUACAUGCAGAAAUUUUUGUAUUAGACCUUAUUUCUUCCGACUAAAAGUUGGCAAGCUAAUACUUACUUGACAAGUACUUUUUGAACAUAGGUUUUAAGAACUAUUGCACGCAUUUGAUAUUAAAGACCAAUACCCCAGAGCAUUUGUUUGUGUGAUUGGGAUAUAUGUGUUCCUGAUUGAAUAGUAUCUAUGCACUUCUGCUCUAUAAUGAAGAAAGGGCGUCGUGCGCAGUAAAUUUCUGUAGCUAUAUAGAUAUUGCUUUUUCUUUUUUCGUUUUUUGCCCAAAUAUAUCCUUGUUAUUUGUGUGUAAGUAUAUAUGGUUAUGUAUAUUUUUAUAAUAACUAUUGCACAUUUCUUAUGGUGCAUCCCGAACUUAAAAGAACUUAUUUAUAUUGGUAAGAAUUGAUCUCAUUUAAACUUUGACAGAUGAUGUGGGCCCUUGAAUACGACCCUGACUUGUUCAAUGUGUACAAAGAAUCUGAUCCUGAUACUGAGAAGGCUGAGGGGCCUAAAGGGAAACCAAAGUCAACACGUCAGUGUGGGAAGUAUGAGAGGGAAAACAUGAAAAGUGGAGCAAAGAAUUCAGAAGCACCGCUCCCAAUUUCAGUUUUCCUUGUUGCCAGUGUCCUGAAAGAUAAGAGCUCAAAGCUACUUACAGAAGCUCGGGGUCUCGAUGAUGUUGUUAAGGUUAGCAUUAUCAGUUGACAAUUUGCAAUUCUUAGAACCGAUUGACUUUCGGAUUAUAUUGAGAAUGAUAUUACAUGACUUAAGCAGAAAACAUGUCCAUGUGGGGACAGCCUAGUGAUAAAUUCAUCUAAAACAAUAAACAAGAAUUACUCAUAGUAAGAAUCCGCUGGCCUUGGCCAAACUAGGGUCCAGGAUGUUGCGUGGAUUUGGGAUAUAUAGUAAUUUACUCUGAAAUGUGAAAUGAAGUAUGAAAAAAAUAGGAAUAGGAGACUGGAGCGGCGACAUUUAUCAGCCAACCCUAUUAAAUCUUUCCUUGAAAAAGUGGAUUCAGCUAUGGUAGUCAAACAUGGUUCGGAGAAGAAUAUGUUGCUAUCGUUUUGUUCUUUCACAAAUGAUUACAUAUAAAUUCUAAAAGCCAAAUGAAACUGUUCCAAUGUUAUUAUCUUGGGUUUCCAAUUUUUUCUGUGUAGUUUUACAGCUUACAUUAGGUUGCAAUCAAGAUCAAAACCCUAAAAAAUGAUCACAUCUUCAUGUUGUUUUGUAAGGGAUUGGACCAUGAAUUUGACAUGGUUUUACCUCAACGGUUCUUAAAAAUUUCAAAUGCGUUGUCUAAUCCCUAAAAGAAAACAUUAAAAGUGAUCAUUUUAAGGAUUUUUGGCUUGAUUGCAACCUAAUGUUAACUACGAGGAUGUAGUUAGGAGUUUUUCAGGACGAAAUUGGAAGCCCUAGCAAACUGCAUGGACUAAAAUUGUCUUUAGGCCAUUUCUAACGCCCUAAGGGAGAAGUUCAAAAUAAUUCUCUAGAGUCGUUAGGGACUGGUGAAGAAUCUUUGAUCCGUUUGAUAAACAAAUACUCGAGCUAUCAAUUUUUCAUUUAAAUGAGUUGGAUCUUAAUUUUUGUACAACUUUUACCCGUUUACCUCACUCAUUCUCUCUGCCAGAUAUUGAAUGACAUAACUGGAAAUUUAGAUGCCAAAAAAGCUUGCACUGGGGCAUUGAAACUCCACAAGAAAUAUCUGAAAAAGGUACUUCAAUUUAUUUUUUAGCAGUGUAGAAUGUUGCUAUUCAAUUUUCAUGUCUAUAUUUGUGCAUUUCUUGUGCGUGUGCGUGCGCUCAUUUCAAAUGUUCUUAUAUUAAUCACUCAAAGUUGCAACAUCAUUCGUUGAUUUGUUACUGCAGGCGCCCAAGAAGACAUAGCAUCACUUUACACACGAUUUUUUAGCCACCCGAAAAAAGUAAGACGAUGUUGCUUACAUUGUUUUUUACCUGAUUUGGCAAGAGAUUAUAAUUUACUUGCACAUGAUCUUGGCUUAGAGUUGAGAGAGCUGCACAGUUGGUCCACUGUGCAAAAUAUUCCCAAUAGAAAUUGUUGUUUGUGAGAUUAGUCCAAAUUAAUUGUACAUUACAAACAUUCUUUAUAGGCCUAUAUUUUGUACAACCAUAACCGAACCGAGGCCUAUAUUUUGUAUAACGAUACGUUGUUCGUAAUGAUAUUAUGAGGGCUGGAAAAUGCUGAAGCUUAUGCAGUGCUCCAACCCUAAGACAUGAAAUUAACUUGCAGUUUUCUUUCUGAAAAUGUCUUCUUGUAUUUCCUUCCUCUCAUAACCAUAUGCAGUUAGUGCAGGCACUUAAUUUUUUUCAUUCAGUAAUUAUAUGGGAACUUUAACGAAAAGCACCCGGUAUUGUUCACUUUAACGAAAAACCAUAUUUUUACACUAAAAAGUCAAUCCUGGUACUAUUCACUUUACCCUUUAUUUUGUCCUUAUCAUUAAAACUCAAAGUUUUCAAGCUUUUUUUAUUAGUUUUCCUUAAUUAUAUUGGGAAAAGAUGUGGGUAGUUCUCCUAGUGUGUCUGUGUUUAGAAAGAAGUGAAAAUGCAAUAGGUAUAACCUACACAAAAGUUCAUUGCAACAUAAACACAACAAAAGAAUUAGAAAUGAAAAGAUUGGCCACAAGUUGGCAAAUUUAGGGCUCGUUUAUAGGAAAUAAUUACGUUUGUAAGCGCUUUUGUUCGAAAUACUUUUAUUAUAAAUAUGUAGAAGUUUUCUUUAUGUCGAAAAUCCAAGUGCUUUCUGGAAGCAUGUCUACAAUCUAGAAAAGCACGUUUAAAUUUUUCGGCCAAAGAUAGUUGAAAUCAUUUUUUAUUGUCAUAACGUAUUCUAGUCUUUUCAGAAGCAAUCCCAAUACAUGCCUUUUCAAGAGUGCAAGAUAUGACUUUUAUUUUUUAAUUUUUUAUAAUAAGUGAGCAUUUAACAAGUUAAAUAAUAGGCCAGGCACUUAUUCAAACUGAGUCUUGUCACGUAUCUUCUAUCGUUGUAUAAAGAGUCAUUCAUUACAUAACCAUGUAAUAUUAUUUUAUUAUUCCCAAAUUAUAUAAAGAUCAUUUCUAAAAACCUUUUUAACUUGGAAAUUGUUUAGCCAUGAUGAAUGAAUUGAUGAUUCGUUGUAUAAAGAGUCAUUCAUUACAUAAUCACGUUAUAUAUAAAUGACCAAACGGUCUCCAAGCUUAAUGAAUUUUGUAGAUAUAAGAUUUAAAUGAUAAAGAAAAUGAAAAUUUUAAAUUAUAAUGUUUGUACUCUAAAAUGUUGUCAUGUCGUCAUAUAAGAGAAAUGGUUUCUUACAUGGGAAAUAGAUCUUUUUCACCAAGACCACCGGAUCAAGUGAUCUGGAUCCUUAAAAUUUAAUCCAACGGCUAAAGUUAUUAUAACUUUUCAAGGAAACCUUUGUUUUUAGCCGUUGGAUUAAAUUUCAAAGAUAACGAUCACUUAAUCCAAUGAUCUUGGUGAAAGAGAUCAGGAGAGAAUCUCUUUCCUCUUGCAUGAAUGAUCCACACUGACUGAACCUACUCUAGUGUAGGCAAUAUGAACCAUGCUGACUGACUAAACCUACUUUCAAAAGUCAGGAUAGUUUGCGUCGGUAAAGGUUGUGCUCUUUCUUUUUCAUUUCUUAUCCUCACUCAUCAUCCUUCUUCAUCCCUCAUUUCCCGAAUAUACGUUUUUCAUUUUACAAGCAUAAAAAAUAAAAAUAAAGGAACGUAAUAGUUAUCAAACAGACUCUUAGAUUGUUGUAUAUUGAGAGGAGGCAUGGAUAUAAAUGUCAGUUCUGGUAUAGUCCCGUAUUAACUUAUCAUAAACAAGGAAAGAAUGACCACUGGAGAAUUUGACGUUAGCUUAAAUGUGUAGUAUAGUCUUCACUAGUACUGCGGUUUAGUGUAAAGUUUUAUGUACAACUCCAAGGAAUGACAAGUUCGAUAUUUAUUUAUGGUUGACCCGUUAUUUGACUAGCCCACAUCUCUUCCUCCAAUAUAGUUGUAUUAAAAAAGAAAGUAAAAAAAUGGUAUAUAGUUAUUUCUAGUUAUACACAACAUUCAAUAAGGAAUUCUAGGAGGAGCUCCUCACCCCAGGUAACAACAUCAUAAUAGUUUAGAGAAUGUUUUGCUUAUGUAUGGGCCACAUUAUUACAACUUCUAGGAAAUUAUAAAUUGAAAUCUUACGAAACAGAUCCAUGCACCCCUUAAUUAACUUCCUCAAAGAGGUUACCAUCAGAGGCAGGAUCUUUCUGCUCUCACAGAUAGAGCAUCUGGUUAGGAAAAACCAGCAUCUAAGGACAGUUUCAAUUCGAAGUAAAAUGCUCGAAAUCUGCAUGUUUCGGGGAAGUGGUAUUGCAGAGGGAAACUUGCCGCCACCAAUAUCGAGUUUGAAAAUGCCACGAUGAGGGGGAGACCAACCCGAAAGAACCCCUCAAACAAGCUGCCAUCUUAAUUUCUCUACCAGGACAUUAACAAGUAUUUUCAUGAACUAAUUAGAUUAGUGCCAAAUCCUUAAAAGUGGAUUUGUACUAUACUAAUUAAUGACCAUAGUCCUAUGAUACAAAUUUAGGUUCAUCAUCCUUUCCACAGACCAGCUAAUAGAGAUGAUCAUUUAGCGAUUGAAUUAUUAUUAUGAUUAUUUCAGUGUUCAUUGGAAAUUAACACACAUGUUCAUCUAUAUGUGUGCGUAUGUAUCAAUCUGGCUUGUCUUAAAAAUCGAUGUUUGUAUUGUAAUAUGUUAUCUUGAAUUUUCUAGUUACCCUGUUCCAACAUUUGGAACUGCUACAAACAUUAGAGACUGCAUCGAUCCUAGAUACACACAAAAAAAUGCUAGGAAAACAAAAAGACCACGCGAAUCCAUCCUCAUGAUUUGUAUAUAAUAGCUACGCACAUAAAAUCUUAUUCAAAUUAUCAUAACGUUUGUUUUGUGACUCGUUACAAUCUCUUCAUCAUCUGCUUUAUGUGUCUCGAGUUCGAGUAUGCAUGGACGGGCCUCGAAAUCAUGGUAGCAUCGUCACUCAUACAUAGUUCUUUAUCAGCCUUGAGUGCAUAAACACCGGUCUUCUUGCAGCUGACGUCAGACAACACCCAUCACAUGAGGAUGACAAAACAAAUAAAUCCGUCAUUAAUCAUGAAUUCUCAGAAAUAUUAAAACUAAUUAAUUAAUUUUCUAGCUAGUGAAAGCUAGAUAUAUCAAUAAUCUUUAACUAGCUACUGAAACUAACUCAAAAAUACUAUCUUUUGUAACUGGUGGUCAUCACUGUUUGGUGUAGCGUCACUCAGUCUUUACUUUAUUUGAAAAGCGACAUAGGGUUCAAAUCUACGUAGGGCCUAAAUAGAAAAACAAAAGCUAGCCCUAAUUGACGUUAUAAUUAACAUUUCAUUUUGUUUAUAUUUCCACUUUGAACCUCAUUUAUUCAUAUAAUCCAAUGACAAUUGCGAUUGAUGAACAUAAUUAAUUAGAUAUUUAUAUACAAUUAACUACUAAUUACCUGCAGAUAGAACUAGCCUUGCUGAUGGUUAGUGGAAGCGAUUUGUCAUGAAAAGGAAAGACAUGAUGGCUAAACAUAGGACCAAAAGAGCAUUAGACUUGAGAUGCCCUGCAUUGUUCUUGGGGAACACUUUAGGAAGAGCACACUCUUCUCCAUUGAACAACACUCUCGUUGGGAACCCUUGACCCGCUUUGAUAUCGAUAUUAUGAUAGUGCUUCUUCUUGAACGAAAUCACCGAUUGCUGCUUCCCGGGGAUCAUCGGAUUCUUUUUCGGAUCCGUCCCGUUUUUUAUCGCCACCAAGUAGUUCAAACCCUUGAGCCCUGUGAACAAGAUUGUGUUGUUGACUUCCUUUUCCAUCCUCGUACCGUUGAAGGAGUAGACGUUUUCGUAGUCCUGGUAGGCCUUGUUCAUCUUCACCGCGGUGUACCAAUCUUGAAACUGGUCGGUUCCCCAGUUGAAGAGAGUGAGCCUGGCGGUCCACCCGUUGCUGUAAUCAGAGUCGAUGUGCCAGUUCAAGCUGACACCGCAGUUGUCAGGGCACGGAAGCUUUUUAGGCACGUCGUAGUGCUUGAUUUUGGCCCAUGCUUUUGCCUUCUCGGUUCUGUUUGCGAAUGGCACGAGGAGAGCUUCGGCAGGCAAAAGCAUGGCGGAAGCCUUAGGGUUACAUUUGUUCGUCUCAGAUGUUUUGCACCCGCACGCGCACGUGCUGCAUGGAAUCACAGAGGUGCUGUAAUAAGCCGAAAACGAGACGCAGCAUCUGGGGACCGGGGUUUUGGUGAUGUUGCACACCACUUGCCAGCUGGCAAUGGCGUCUGACGUGGCCUGGAGCCCACUUGGGUCGGGGAACUGAGUAGGGUCAACCCUAAUAGGGGGCCCGCAUCUGUAAGUAGGGUUCAGAACGCCACUGAUUUUCCACUGCUGAGGUGGAGUUAUGGCAGUUCUGUUGUCGUCGGGUGGGAUCUUAAACACUUGCAGCUGGAAAAUGGACUGGGACUGUGCAUUGUCCAUGAGGCUCGGCAAGAUGGUCCCGUUGCGGCAGCAGCUGGGCAGUUUGCCGACCUUGGGAUCAUCCUUUCGCUCGGCUGGGAGGUCGGUGAUGACGGGCUUCUUUUCACAGUUCAUGACCUGAGAGAAGUCCAAGUCCUUGUAGAAUUUUCCGGCUUGGCCGUAGAGGCAUGCACUUGUGUCCUUCUUGUGAGUGUAGGCUCCUCUCAUGGUGUUGAUGAACUCUCCCCUCAUCCAUUCCCAGGUUAAGUUCCAGUGGUCGAGGCGGCCGAGCGGGUGGACGUUGUCGAUGGUGACCUGAGCCAGGUAGUUCAUUGUGUAGGUUUGCAUUACAUCGUAUGUGAUUGAGAGAUCCCCGUUCUGACGUGGCAUGAAUUUGGUUUUCUCGACUUUCUUCGCCUUGAAUUUUGGGUCCUUUUUACAGCACACAGACAUUGCAGUCUUCCCUGCAUGAGGAAAACAAAAAGGAUAUGCGUCAAUGCAUGCAUUUGAACCCUUUCAAGGUUCGUAUAUUAGUAUGUUCUUUUUGCCAAAAUAUUUGAUUUGUUAUCUUGUCAGAUAGUGAAUUGGAAUAGUGUUAAUUCGACAUAUGAUAUUGACAUUAUUAUUCACAGGUAAAGCUCACAUGUAUUAGAGAGAGUGUUGAUGUCAGUUUUAUAUAUAUAGUUAGAAAGUUGACCGUAUACAAUAUGACAAAGAAAAUAGUAACUAACACAUAUUUACAUAAUACAAGUAUGAAGAGAUUUAUGGAAUUGAGAUCACGGUUUGACAACAGAGUCAUUGGAAGAAUUAGGAACUGAAUUGAUACUCUUUUCAAGUUUUAUAUGUCUACUUAAUAGCAUUAAUAUAUCUUGGACUAAAAACCAUAUACAUUUCUUGAUGUUCAAUCUAAUCGAUCGUCCUAAAAGAUGUAAAGCCCAGAAAUAAGAACACCAAUUUGAUCGAAAUCAAAAUAUUCAAUCUGAAUCUCAUAAAAUCUUAUGUUCUGCAAACAUAUUUCUCAAAACAUCACAUGUAAUGUAAUGCAUGUUAAACAUUAUCAUUAAUAACACAAACAACCUUAUAAUUAAUUAACUAAUUACCUUUAAAUUUAGCAGCAGGGCACUUGAAGCCAUCAUUGACAAUGGAGAUGGUCUUGGGCAUCGGAGUAGACUUCUCUCCCAUCCCAAACUGCGUCCCUUUGAACGCAAUCUUAGCCUGAAUCUGGGUAUAAUCUCCGGCGGUAUCAAUCAUAGUUUUCAAAUCUGUCAUUGGAUACCCGGCAAAGUAUGCCCCUUUGGUUCCAACAUCGACGGGCAAAUCACCACCGUCAACCAUCUGAGCUCCUUCCGCGGCCACCAAGAUCUCCCGAUGCUGAAACCCUAUGUACAUCUUCCACGCCUUGAGCUCGGUCGACCCGGCGUUCAAGAUCGUCGCCUCCGACUUGAACGCCCAAGCCUGUGCCGACACAUUUUUCGUGUGCGGCAACUCCUUCUCCCUGGAGGUAAACGUGUACGACAAGAAAAUGCCAUCACAGUCUUCUUGCUCGGGAGGAGGAGCUGCCACAACAGCAUCUUCGUCUUGUCCGUAACAAAUCUCAACCCUAAAACAUGAAAACACCAAAAACACCACGAGCAUUGCUUGAAGAAAGGACGCGCGGGACGUCCAGGGUAUUUUCAUGCCCAUAUUACUUGUUUCCAUCAUUGCUUUUUACAAUAAUGUGGAGCGAGCUUUGAGGUUUCAAAUCUUUUCUUUUUGUUUUUGUCUAUUUUUCGAGGUUGAGGGUUGUUUCGUGUGUCGCUUGGGAGAGAGACAGAGAGAAAGAGAGAGAGAGAGAUCUAUUGAACGGUAGGCGGCCGCGCGAGGACGCGGCGAGUGAGAGAUGCUAUGAGGCCCUGGGAGGUCUGUGUAAACCCCAGGGUAGAGAGAGAUGGCUAGGUAAAAGAAGAGGAGCGACAUUAAAAGACUGGGUCAAGCUCUAUUUUCUUCCGCUAGUUUUAGCGGCAGGUUCGGAACGUUGUCCAUGCAACCGAUACUGUUUGAUUUCUGGUAGACAUUGUACGGAAAUAUAUCUGAUACACACGCUGUAAAUAGAUUUCGGUAUCGAAAACUAUGCCGUUUCUGAGUUUUUCUUUUCUCUUCUUGUUUUCGGACCGAAACCACCGAAACGGUUGCUGUGAUAACCUUCUAAUUAACUGUUUUGAGCUGGCAAAAACUGCAUGUCACAUAACUUGCAUUGGACUAGUUUGCUCACCUCAGAUUGCCGACAUGGCACUUCGAACCAAUCAUUUUUUUUAUUUUUAGUAAUCACAAAGUUCAAGUACUAAAAUAAAUAUAAAUUGGCAUGAAAAUGUGAAAGAGUCGAAUCUGUGUUGGAUAUCACUAUGCGAUGUGCUGCACAAAAGGGAUUGGCAUGAAAAAUCAGUAGCUAUGGGGAUCCUAGCUAGGUUUAUUUUGUUCUAGAUUUUUAGCCAAAAUGUUUUCUGAGAUUAAGUGGUUCUUAAUUUUGUCUACUCUACAUCAUUUUGGUCAUUCAAUGAAAAAUACGUUCAAUAUUCUUGUUAAGUUGAGAUGUUGGUUUGACAAAAAUACUCUUUGGAAAGGUAAACACGUAGUUGUUUACGUGACAAUUUAACAAAGAUAUUGACAACUUUUAUCACAAAAUGACCAAAUUGAUUUACGAUGGACAAACUCAAAUACUGCUUUUAUCAAUUAUCAUUGUCAAAGACCAAAGUAAGGAGAUCCAAUCUCAGAGACAAUUUUUGCUAAAAAGUCGGUUCUAUCUUCUUUCUUACUUUUUCAGUAUUUUAAUUACCCUUUAUUAAUUCUAUAAUGGAUAUAAUUGCGUGAAUGACUUGUAGCUCAAGUAGUUUAAAGUGCUCACUUUCAAUAAAGAGUACCCCUAUAUUUUCAUAUAAUUUUAAUUGAAUUGCUUUCUUCCACGCCUAUCCGCAGCACAGUCAUUAUUUGUUCAAGAAGUUAGCUCCCCGCUAAUACUUGGGAACUAGGGUAUCCAGUUAGUACAAUAAACAAGGCAACACAGCUAUAACCGAAGAUAAUAUCAAAACGCUAAUUAAGAAACCUACCCCUACGAUCUCUUAUGGUUACAUAUCCUGUUAAUUCAGUGUGCACGAUUUUCAUUACUUUAACCAAAUCAAGCGACAGUUAUCUCCGUCCCGCCGCUGAUUUCUUCAACGAACUGCGCUUUUGGCUCCAAGUCUAUGAACUGGUUGGACUUGCUAGCAAGAUGCGAAAUGCUUACCCUUCCCUGACGCUUAAUGUAGUCUGCUACAGCUUGCAUCUCCUCUUGGGAGAUGUAUAUGUAUUUCCCUCUGUCAUCCAUGACGCCAGAAAGUCGCCCUAACACAGACAAAUACAACAUUUUCAUUCUCAACGAAAAGGUAUUUUACCUUCUGAAGCAAAGGAAUGAAUUAUUCAUUAGGUACCACAAGUCACUGAGGAAAUAGCUCUGCACAUACCCAUACUCUCGAGAUUGGUAAUUCGAUAGAUGCAUUCCUGCAUGAACCAUCAGUUGCAUUGAAAAAUUAGUAAGCCAAAUCUGGCAAAUUAAGUUGACUAAUCACUUUCAGAAAAUAUACUUCCAUAUGCCUUACUAAAUUUCAAAUUAAAACUUCAUCUAUUAAUGCACUUUGAGGCACGAAGAAGACAUGAAAAUUGCUGAUUUAUGUGUUACUUCAGGAUAAAUAUAAGUUACCUGAGUCCUUAACUUAGAUUCAGCAGCAAGAUCUUCCAGAGGAAUGCAUUUAUGUUUCUGCAAUGUCAAAAUUAACAGUAGUAUUAAUAACAAAAUCACAACUCAACUUGAAAGCCUCAUGUCUCGAAUAGAAACAAAACGACACAAACAGUUAAAAGAUUAAUAAACUCUAAACUGGAUUGGAUAAGUUAGAAACUACAACCCAACCUUAAACCCCCAAAACUUAGAAGCUCCAUUUCAUCCCUAGUUUUGUGCAACCCGAUGGCGAUGGAGAUAUUAGGGGGCUAGAGUAUGGAACAAUAUCUUUGAAUGAAUUAACUGAACUCUACCUUUAUGUAUUCCACAAAAUCAGAAAGCAAAUCCUGACAUCCAUCCUGCACUUCAUUCUCGGUCAUACCUUCAGCAUCUAUUGAAAACUCGCCUUUCCACUUCUCAAACUCUAAAGCAGCAGCUUCCUCCUCCCUAGCCUUUUGAGCUUUGGCUUCUUCCUCCUACAAAACCGUGGCCAAAUCUUUGGGCAGUAACUUAACAACACAAUAAUACACAUCCUCAUUUUCCAAAACAGAAACAAAAGAGAGACGUCAACGCACCAGCUGACGCUCCUGUGCUUCACGCUCCUCAUCUUUCCUCCUCCGCAUUUCAGCAUAGCGGUCUUGUUUUGUUACCCUUGAUUCACGUGCAGCUUGUUCAGCCUUCAAAUAAAGAACGGACUCAAGUAAAUAAUUACUUGUGCUUCGAUUGAAGGGAAAAGGGAAGAAAAUAAUAUAAAAGCAGUACAAGUAAACCAUAAUCAAGGAUCCUCCGAGAGCAUAAGCAUAAACGCAAUUGAAGGUUUCAGUUACUUCCACCAUUUCGGUAAUUUAAAUCGAUUGAAUGAUGUAGUAAUCAAACUUCUAACAUGUCCUACACCUCAGUGACUACAUAGAAGUGGUUUCUGUCUUUAUUACUCAAUGUAGAUAGUUGGAUAAUUAGAAACUCGCUAAAAUUUAAGGCCUGUUGGGUAUUCAGGACAGGACAGGACACAUUAACUAGAAAUUUUAAUCAGGACCGGAGAGGGGGAGAGAGAGUAUGUGCAAUCCUUCAAAUCAGGAAGUAAAAGAAAGAAAGAAUACUUGUCGUUGUGCUUCCCGCUCUUGGCGCUUCUUUUCCCUCUUCUUGGAUGCUUUAGCAUCAUACUCGCCCUCAACAUCUUCCCCAUCACUUCCCUCAACGGAUUCUGUAUUUAAAAAUACAUACUAUGAGUUCAUUUGACAGAAUAACACAUUUUUCAACUUAUUUAAUAUCAUUAGCACUUAAAGCUAGCUAGCUAGUGCAAAAGCUCAUAUACAAAAUGUGCAGCUAUACAAGUCCAAAUUUGCACUUCAUACGCCGCGUACAUUUUCCAUACAGAAUACCUAAUACAUCCUUUACUUCCUCAAUUUUUGUACCCUCCUCAUGAAUCCAUAAACCUUAUGACUCCUCUCUGGAAAUAAUCAUCGGUCUACCCCAACAGAUCAAACCAUGUAAACCAUCAUCACCCCAAAUCCUAAUUUGAUCAAACCUUUAUCUCUCACAGAUACGGUUGCUUAUAUUUUCGUUCCAGAUUAUCUCGCCACUGCUUACCAAUUUAUUCAAUCCCGCCGCUGAGAUGCUCAGUUGAUGAUAUCUAUUUCAAUCACAAUUCAAUCAAUUACAAUCGCUUCUCGAAUCAAAGAGAAACGAACAUCACAAAACAGCAGAGUCACAAUUACUCAUGAACUUAAUCCAAUCUCUUACUAAUAUAAAAUCAAAUUUAGUCACUUCAAAGUAAAACACAAACCUUCUACACCUGGUGCAGCAGCAGCUGAUGUGCUUGCUCCAGAAGCCGGCCUCCUACGGAUCCAGCGACCGCCAGGCGCACGCACCACCGCCUCCCUCUGAGCAACCUAGAUCAAUAUGAACAAUCCAGAAAAAAUCUAUAUAACUAAAAACAAUUACGCUGCCGCCGAAUUAGGGCUCAAAGAAUCAAACCUGAGGUUCUUCUUCGUGUUCAUGCGAAGAUCGAGAAUCUUGACGGCGUUUCCAUAGAAAUAGUGGAAUUAAUCCCAAAACAAGAAGCAUAGAAAGAAAAAUUGCCAACAUUUCCUCCAUAUUUUCUCAAUCUCAGGCCCCGUUGAUGUUCCUUUUCUUUCUCUCAAUUCUAUUUUCUUAGGAAUUCUCGGAAACCAAACAAAGAGUUAGGGUAAAGCGAAUACCUUGAGAGCGGUUAAGCUUCGUACAAUCAAUGGAGCCUGGAACGGUUUGAAUAGUGAUUAUAGGACCUAAAUGUAAUUAGCAUGAAUUGGGAAUCAUUAAACUUACAUGGAUAAAAAAAAUUAAGAUUAUUACCUUAUAUUUGGAUGAAGAAAUUUAAGAUAUUAAUAAAUUUUAAAAUAAGGUAAAUUGAAAUAACGGAGUUUUAUUUUCUAAAAUUUGUGAAUUUUCUUAUUUGGUUAAUCUAAAAGAAUAAUGGAAUUGAAUACAAAAUUUAAUAUUUUUAAACUCUCAAUAGUAGAAAUUUAGAAAUACACCUAUUUAAUUUACAUGGAAUUUAAACUUGGGAAAAUUAUAAAUUUCUAUUUAUGAAUUUAAACAAGGGAAUUGGUGCAUGUCAAUUUAUAAAUUCUGACUUUUAUCUAAAUCCCAAAUUUAUUUUCCUCGUCUUAACAUAGUGUUAGAGAUUAGAUUUCUUCUGUUGUAUAAAUCAUUUUAUUUCUAUAGAGAUUUUUCUGUGUUCGAAAUAAAGACGUGUCAUUAUAAUACAAGUAAUGAGAUGCUUGUAUUAAAAAUUAACAACUUAAACAAUAAAACAUCCCUCCACUUAUAUAAUGACAUAGAAUAUAUUGUUCGUGUUACGCGCACAACCGCACAAUGAAAGAUUCCCGUAUUUCUCUAUACAUAAAUAUUCACACAAUUAUCACUUUUUCAAAAUUUAAAUAUUUUAAAGUCAAAAUAUUUAUAAAAAUGAAUAUGAUUUUUAGUUUAAUUUUAUAUAAAUAUCCUUUAAUAAUAUGUGACUUGAAUUUCAAGGCAAAAGAAGGAAAAAAAUUGUUUCUGACAUAUGAAAAUUGUCUAGGUUAAAUUUUUAAAUUUUAACCCACACUAUUAGAUAUGAUCUAUCAUAAAAUAGCUGAAUGAAAACAAAGUUUCACGUUCAAUUUUGAAUUAAAGACGUUAAAAAUAAUGAAUCAACGACGUUAAAAAUAAUGAAUCAACGACGUUAAAAAUAAUGAAUCAACGUCGACUAUAACCCCUUACCUUCCAAGCUACCGAUGCGAAUUCGAAUCUCAAAACUAACGAGCUUGCAACCAUUAUAUCAAAUAUCCAUCUAUGUCCCCUAAUAUUCUAUUUAUACUCUUCGUUCAUCCACGAAAACUCGAUAAUUGCUUGGCACGCUGUCUGUCAUUAUCGUGCUUAGCAAAUAACACAUCUCGUGCGAAUUGAGAGCCUUUAGGAUCGCAACUACGUGCCUCUCUGCAACCGCGCAGCAGCACCCAUCAAUUCCCUCUCCCCUAUUUCCCACAAAUUGCCCACACCCCUCGAACCCACAACCUCGACUUACUCCCCUACCCCAAGACUUCUUCAGCGAAUACCCAAAAAAACCCAUAAAUUUUUUUUAAAACGGUAAUAACAGAGAGACUAAAUUUUUAAAUUAAAUUUGCAAAUACAUACCUAAGAAUCAAAUGAUGUGAUGCUACCAUUUCAUUUCCAACGAGUCCGAGCCAAACAUCCAACGCACACAGAGAAUCCAUCCAUCCACAUUAUUAUCAAAACUCACGUAUGUCCCAAAACACAUCAAAUAUCUACAACAGCCAUCACUUAGCCACCAUAAAAAAUCGCUCGCUCACUCAACCGCGCUAUUAUUUUCGGCUUGAAACUGGUUUUUCCCUUGUUUAUUAACAUAAAACGUCUGGAACUGGUUUUUCCCUUGUUUAUUAACAUAUAAGGUGACAAUUAAGCCUCGGCGAUCUCAGCGGAUUCUGCAGCAGCUAGGAUCAGCUCCGGCUGGAUGCCUCCGACGUAUGAUCCAUCCAAUGCGUUGGGGAGUCCCAGUGCCUUCAAUGCCAAGUGAGCUGCCUUUUGCCCUGAGAUCAUCAUGGCUCCGAAUGUAGGUCCCUGCAUCCCCAAUAAUGUUACAAAUUAUAUUAUUAGGACUACGUUGAUAUCGACGGAUACCAAACCCACAAUGUUUAUAUCAAGUGGGAAUCUUAUUAGGACCACAUAAAGAUCUAGUAAUGGUACUAUUCCAAACAUAAAAGAACAGGAAAAGAAUGGAAGAGCUUUUGGACCCACGUUCUUUCGAAAUCACUAUGCAUGGAUUGAGGCUUAAGUAAUUCUACGGUCCUAAGGUGUUUUUGUUUCGUAAUUAAACGCCGAGGGGAGAGGCCACUGUCUAUCUACGCUGUGCAUUUACAUGUCAAAAUUCGAAGCUUAAAACUAGGACGUUAUGCUUGAUAAAUCAAAUAUUCUAAUCCUUAAUGUUUUAUCUAAAUCGUCUAAGCCCACCACCGCGAUCACCAUUUUGACUAAAUGUGAUCGCGAUGGCUUGAAGCGGUUGGAUAAAAUCAGCCAAGCACAGUAAUGGCUAUACCAAAAAGUAAAACAGUAAAUAAAUCAAGAACAAAUGGAAUGAGUCAGAAAUGUACCAUUCUUGGGGAUCCAUCAAUCUCGGCAACUUCCAUGCCGGUGACGAUCAUUCCUGGCACAAUUUCCCUUGUGAGCUUCACGAUAGCAUCCUCAGCUGCGUUCAUGUCCAAGGCCUUCAUCCCGGGCACGCUCUCAAUCAUCCCAACGCUCCUCAGCCUCUUUACGCCGGUGGCUCCCAUGGGUCCGUCAUGACCACAUGAGCUCACCACAACCUUGGCCUCCAUGACGUUGGGGUCCAUGCACGACUGUGUGUCGUGGUUCAUUGAGACCAAGGCCCAGUUGGUGACCACCCCACCAACUCUGCCACCCUUAAUGAUCAAGUCCUCGGCGGCCACAGCGUUGAAGAGCUUCACGUUGGGCCGGGCAAGGAGCUUGCUCAUGAUGGUGGAGGUGAAUAGGGCGGCGUGCUUGAUGACAACGUAGUUGUCUUGCUCAUCGUAGUCAAUGCCGAGCUCGUUAAGGAAGAGAUGGGCGGGUUUGCGCACAACCUAUAUAUGUCAACAUAUAAAUUAAAUCUUAAGUACUACAAAAUAUAAGACAAAAUAUUUUCAAAAUUUUCAAGUUAGAACAUUGAAAUAUUUUCGAAAUUUAUGUUGCUUUCCAAAAUUGUACUUUUAAUUUUCAUAGCAUUCAUUUCUCACUAGAACAUUUAACCAAAUAUAAGGCCAACCCAUUUAACGGAAUAAGACUUGGUUGCAAUUGUUGUAAUGUUAACUAAAUAGCGGGAUUAUCUCGCUUCCAUAAAUUCACCAUAAUCAAGCAAUCUAAUUGUGAUUCAUUAGUGCAUAGAUGAAAUCUAUAUAUAUUGUAUAUUUGGAAUUAAUUAAUAAGGAAUUACUUUUCUACAAAAUAUACAAAAUUUGUUUGAUUUACGAAUGAAAAUACAACAAUAUCAAACUAUUUAAUUAAUUACAAAAAUGGAAAUAAAGAAAUAAAUUACAAAAAAUAAAUUAACGAAUAUUUAUGCAAAUAAAAACAGACAUGCAUAACGAUACAGGUCAAAUUAUCCAAACAAGAUGGGGCAUGCGCGACACGUGUCACAGUCAAACGUUUCAUUCAUUUUACCGACAAACAUGAAUUUCAAAUUAACAAACAAUUUCCCAGAAAAAAGGCCAAAAAUUAAGCACCCGGAAACCUUAAACGACCAAAAAUGAUAAUUAAACUACAACAAAUCAUUAAUUAAAAGUUUCAAUAACUUUCCAAAAAUAUUAAAAUUAAUCAUAAAUGACAGUAAUUACCAUGGCAGAGAAGAGCUGGCCACCGAGCCAUGCACCUCCACCGGGGCUGACGGACUGCUCGAUGAUGGCGACCUGAACGUCGGGGUUCUUGCUGAGUUCGUAGGCGCAGGAUAGCCCGGCGGAGCCAGCACCGACGACAACGACGUCGGUGUCGGCGUAGGUGAUCAUGUCAGUCAUGUAGCGCCUUGUCAUCUCCCGGGAGACGAUGGAUUCCUUGAUGGGGUCGAACUUGAAAGCGCUCAAGUCGUAGGAGGGGGUCAAGCCGUUGGCGGACAUGGAGACGGAGAGGCCGCCGUUGUUGGCGGGGGCCGCCUUGGCCAGCUGAAGGCGGACCAUGGGAGCGCCAUGGAAGGAGGAGUCGAGGAGGGAGGACUUCUGGAGCUUGGCGGUGAGGGAGGAGGAGGUGAGGGUGGAAGCCAUGGUUGCCAUUGAUUGAUGCGAGAGAAGGAGAGAGAGGGAGAGAGAGAGAAGAUGAUAAGAUGGGGUGAUUUGGGGGUUUAGCGUUUGCAAGUCAGAAGAUGGAAGUGAAGAGAGUGGUUAUUUAAGGAGGAGGGUGACGUAUAUGUAAAAUUGAAGAUGGACACGUGGGAAGAGGAUAGGAUAUGAAGGGUCUAGAACCUCUUGGGAGGUACAAGUGGCAAGCAUGAACCAGUCCACGGUGUGUGUUUGAGUGUGAGGAGAGUGAAUAGAGAGGGAAAUGUUAGAUGACAAAGUUUAUAAGGGAAUUGCUAAGGCUAUUAUCUUGAAUGUGAUUUUCUACGAAUUUUCUGUCAUUUUAUGUUUUUGAUACAAUUCUUAUGUUAAUGUUAUAAAAUUUUGUGCCAAGAAUAUGAGGUGAUAGAGAGUUCAUAGGAAGUCUUACUUUGAAACAGUCUCCUUAGUAUUUCUCAAUUUGUAAACCAAAUGAUUAGAUUGUUGAUGAUCAUUUUAUUACUCAAGUGUUGAUUAAUGUGUUUAAUUUCUACUGAAAAUAUGACUUUAGCUCUUGAAACUCAAGUUUCUUUACAUAAAACCCGACAUAGUCUUUUUAUCUAAAUAAAACCUAAUGACUACGCUCCACAUAAGCAAAGUCAUUAAUUCUAUUUGCCUUUACACAUUUUGCAUUUUUUUAGAUGCCUAAAACACCCCUAAUUAAAGUUUUAAUGUAUACAUUAAAUUCUAUGCAUAUUUGAAGGGAGGGGUUAAUGAAAAAAAAAUGCAUUAAUGUUUAAAAUCACUGCAUAUUAAUAUAUCAUAACAAAUUGUAUGUUAAUGCUUCUUGGAACAAAAAAAAAGCACUAAUGUUAUACUUUCCUUAAGAUUUUGUAAUUGUUUUUCAAAUUUGCCUAAAAUUUGACAGUUUUAAUUUGAUCUUGUCAUUAUCUUACCCAAAUUGUGACAUCCCACAUCGCCCAGGGGAGUAAUCCUUAAAUGUAUAUUCUCAUCCCUACUUAACACGAGGUCUUUUGGGAGCUCAUUGGCUUCGGGUUUCGUAGGAACUCCGAAGUUAAACACUCCCAGGAUGGGUGACCCACUAGGAAGUUGCUCGUGAGUUCCCAAAAACAAAACCGUGAGGGAAUGGUAAGCCCAAAGCGGACAAUAUCAUGCUACGGUGGUGGAACGGGCUUGGGAUGUGGUGGACCCGGGCCGGGAUGUGACAAAUGGUAUUAGAGCCAAUCCCUGGCCGGAAGUGUGAUGACGAGGACGUCGGGCCCCUAAGGGGGGUGGAUUGUGACAUCCCACAUCGCCCAUGAGAGUGAUCCUUAAAUGUAUAUUCUCAUCCCUACCUAGCACGAGGAAUUUUGGGAGCUCAUUGGCUUCUGGUUCCGUAGGAACUCCGAAGUUAAGCGAGAAGGAGGCCAGAGCACUCCCAGGAUGGGUGACCCACUGGGAAGUUGCUCGUGAGUUUCCAAAAACAAAACCGUGAGGGAAUGGUAAGCCCAAAACGGACAAUAUCGUGCUACGAUGGUGGAACGGGCCCGGGAUGUGGUGGACCCGGGCCAGGAUGUGACACAUAUGAAAAUCUGAAAGGGCACUAUAAAAUUUAUCCAGUAAUAAUACAUGCAAAAUAAUUUACUUAUAAAAUUAAAGAAAUGUUAUUUGAUUCAAAAGAAAUUUAUCUAUAUUUUAUAUAAUAAUAUAGGUGAAUCAUUGCACAAAUAUAUAUUAGGAAAAAAAUGUGCCCAAUAUAUAUAUAAUGCAUACAAAUAAUUCACCUACAAAUAAAGGAAAUUUGGUUAAAAAUAAUAUAUUUACUACUUUCAAUUUUCCUAUUUUUUUUUUUUUUACAAACAUAAUGUACCUACAAUAUAAUUUACCUAUUGUUUAAUCAAAUAAAAACAUAAGGUAUCUAUUGUUUCAUUUUAAUGGUGAUAAUUUGUCUUGGUUUAGUUUUUACGAAAUAAUUUAGGCACUGUUUAACUUGACCAAAAUAAUGUAACUACCAUUUUAAUUUACCUAGAAAAUAAAUGCUAUUUGAUUCUGUUUGGACCCAAUUUUACGCCAUCGGCCCAAGCAAUCGAGGCCGUUGAGUAAACAUGAUUCUUAAUCGUCGGAUAAGAAAGUUAAGAUAAUUUGCUAUUGUUAAGAGAUAAUAUGAUGGUUUUUAAUCAUAAUAAUUAUCUUUUAAUAAAUUAUCUUAGUUUUCUUAUACAAAAUAAAUUAGAGAGAUUCUUGGACUCUUAACUUGGCCUAACAUGGAUCUGCAAGCCGAAGAUAAUGGUGGAUAGGACCUAAGCGGGCUAGGAUGUUGUCAGAUGAUGGAAGACUUGCAUGCCGUGUGAAAAGCUACAAGUUGUAUAUAUAUGUAGGCUGUAUAGUUUGCAUGCCCAUCAACCUAUGUCGUGCAAAAAUCUCCCAGACUAUAUAGUUAUAUAUAUAUAGAUAAUGGUGGUUAUUUUGAUGGGAUUAAGCUUUGAUUGAUGUGAUAAGGUCUAAGGCGUGAAUGUAGGUGCAUAAAAGAUAAAGUGGUUAGAGUUUCAUUUAUUAUGAUUAUGCAUAGGAUAAAUGAGUGGUCAGCAGCAACAGUUAGAGAGUUGAAGUCACGAACUACAAUAUGAGGAUAUGCUUGUCUUUAGACGCGGAUCAACUUCAGGAAUUAGAGUUGCAAUUAAACUCUACAAUACUAUCAGACCUUGCCAAGCAGAAAAAUGAAUACUAUAAAUACAAGACUCGGUGCAACAUUCAAAGGACCUCCAAUUCAACACACAAAACUGCCCUGCGUAAACCCUCUCAACAACUUUGAGAUUUUUUAUUUUCUUUUUCACCGGCACAUCUUCAGUUGGCAUAAAUAGCAUUGUGGAGACAACCGGUGAUAUCUUCAGUUGGCAUAAACAGCACUGUUGCCGUAGAAUCAGCCGAUCUCGCAGCAUCUUCAGUUGGCAUAAAUAGCACUGUGUCGAGGCCGACUGGUUACCUAUCUAAGUCUCGGUCGAGAAGGAUUUUCGAAUCCUUGUUGGUCUAGGUCAUCUCAUCAGCCUUCUCGGCGAAGUGAGGUGUUACGAGUUACUACAUUCGGCACAUUGGAAGCCGAAUUUGAUAUUGAACUUCGUUAAGUUAGCAACCUUGUCUUCAGGCUCUAGAACCCGAAGGCCGAGACAAGUUCCUUCCUCGACCGCAAUCGCAAGAUGCAGAAGUCAACUGCGCACCCAACGCAACAUCAACAUAUUUUACUCUUCAACCGAGCUCGGCCGACGAGUUGGCACACCCCGUACACAACCAAAUGACGUAGUUAGCUUAUAGAUUACUCGGCAUGCGUGCCACGUAGGUUUGGUAGAUUUUAGGGUCAACAUUUUGGCACGCCCAGUGGGACCCAGUGCUAAAACUACAAAGUUCACAUGAUAUAUCAAGAUCACGAUCGGGAUGAGAUUUAGCGCCUAUUCAAGGAAAUUGUCGAGCAACAAAAACGCCUUGGCCAGAUCAUUGAAGCAAAUGAAGAAAGGCGAAAAUCUUUCUCUCAAAUGAUAAAGGUGAAGGUUCAUCACAGCUUACAAGAUCAAUGGUUAAAUGAAGAUAGAGCUCAAUAUUAUGAAUGGAUCGAUAAGAAAAUGCUUAUUGGGUUCAAAUCAAUUCCAUUUGAAGAAUGGUUGGAUCAAAAAGUCGGGGGGCAAAUUUCCGCUCCGGCCACAAUCAAAAUUUGGCCUCAGAACAUUGUCGAGACGGCCGAAGAAAAACCUAGGCCACCUGUUGUCUCGAUCGAGAUUGAAAGUGUGGUAGGCCUAGAAGAAAAAAUUUAAGUUUCUGAGCCACAAAUCUACUUAGAAAAUGAUUCGUCAAAUGAGUGCUCCAAUGACGAACAAGGCCGAGACAUAGGCUUAGCCAGAAAAACCGCGCCAAUUGAUAUGAUUAUUGGUGAUAAAGCCGAUAAGGAGAAAUCUCAUUCGGUCAAGUUAUUUGAAUUAAAAGCCGAAAUUAUGCCUGGGGGCAUAAUAAUUGUUCAACACAUUGGUGGCCAAAAAUGAAAAAUAUUUCACCAAGUUAGAAAUAUUUGGAGAUGAUCUUUUAUUCAGCUUUGGAAAAUGUCAAAGUGAAAAUUUUGAUGUAAAAAGAACUUGGCUUGGAAUAAAACAUCGUUGGCCUCCUCCUCUUGAUAGCUCGGCCACUUUUGUUUUCUUUUAUUAAGAAAAGGAAUAAAUUAUUUUCUUAAUCAUCUGGCUAAUUAAGCUGAUGCAUAAGAAAAUAAGGGGGCAAUGUCCAAAAGGAAUAGAUUUUGGCUGUCUAGGCCGAGGCAGUCUAGGCCGAGGCAGAUUCAGGUAAUCGGAUGUUUAGGCCGAGGUAAUCUUUUUUGCCGAGCUCGGCGAAAUUGGAUGCGUGCAUGCGAAUUUUUUCCUAAUGAUGGUAGACUUAUUCAACAAAAGUGGAUAUUUAAUUAGAUAUAGGCUUUAGCCUAUGGAUGUGGCUAAUGGGGAAUUGUCAGAAUACCAUUGGAAAGACAAAUAUAUAUAUUUUAUAUAAGUAAGACUCAGCCAUGAGGUUUUAUAGUCGAAGUUGGGUUGUCAAAUCCAAGAGUUAGGAUAUUUAAUGAGCUUCGGCCUUGGAUCAGUAUAUAUAUAUAUAGGCGCUGCCAAGAAAAAUUCUUCUAGACCUUGGUUUAGGUUUUCUCGGCCUCAGCCUGUUUUACCCUUUACCCCAAUUCUUUUCUACCCCUUCCCGAAUUCUUCUCGACCUUCUGGAGAGUUGCCGAGCCUGGUAUAGAGUUGCAGCAGUCGAGGAGGGCCGUGGCGUUGGCAGAACAUACAUGUUAUUUCCGAGGAACAAAAUUUGUUUCGGCAAUACAACGAAAUGUUGUCGGCUACGAACAGUUAAUUUCCUUAACCAUUCAGUUUACGAGCCGAAGCUCAAGGAAACUGGGAGGCAAUGUUUGGACCCGAUUUUACGCCAUCAGCCCAAGCAAUCGAGGUCGUUGAGUAAACAUGGUUCUUAAUCGUCGGAUAAGAAAGUUAAGAUAAUUUGCUAUUGUUAAGAGAUAAUAUGAUGGUUUUUAAUCAUAAUAAUUAUCUUUUAAUAAAUUAUCUUAGUUUUCUUGUACAAAAUAAAUUAUAGAGAUUCUUGGACUCUUCACUUAGCCUAACAUGGAUCUGCAAGCCGAAGAUAAUGGUGGAUAGGACCUAAGCGGGCUAGGAUGUUAUCAGAUGAUGGAAGACUUGCAUGCCGUGUGAAAAGCUAUAAGUUAUAUAUAUAUGUAGGCUGUAUAGUCUGCAUGCCAUCAGCCUAUGCCGUGCAAAAAUCUCCCAAACUAUAUAGUUAUAUAUAUAUAUAUAUAUAUAUAUAUAUAUAUAUAAUGGUGGUUAUUUUGAUAGGAUUAAGCUUUGAUUGAUGUGAUAAGGUCUAAGGCGUGACUGUAGGUGCAUAAAAGAUAAAGUGGUCAGAGUUUCAUUUAUUAUGAUUAUGCAUGGGAUAUAUGAGUGGUCAGUAGCAACAGUUAGAGAGUUGAAGUCACGAAUUACAAUAUGAGGAAAUGCUUGGCUUUUGACGCGGAUCAACUUCAGGAAUUAGAGUUGCAAUUAAACUCUACAAUAUUAUCAGACCUUGCCAAGCAGAAAAAUGAAUACUAUAAAUACAAGACUCGGUGCAACAUUCAAGGGACCUCCAAUUCAACACACAAAACUGCCAUGCGCAAACCCUCUCAACAACUUUGAGAUUUUUUAUUUUCUUUUUCGUCGACACAUCUUCAGUUGGCAUAAACAGCACUGUAAAGGCAACCGGUGAUAUCUUCAGUUGGCAUAAACAACACUGUCAUCGUAGAAUCAACUGAUCUCGCAACAUCUUCAGUUGGCAUAAACAACACUGCGUCGAGGCCGACUGGUUAUCUAUCCAAGUCUCGGUCGAGAAGGAUUUCCGAAUCCUUGUUGGUCGAGGUCAUCUCAUAAGCUUUCUCGGCGAAGUAAGGUGUUACGAGUUACUACAUUCGGCACAUUGGAAGCCGAAUUUGAUAUUGAACUUCGCUAAGUUAGCAGCCUUGUCUUCAGGCUCUAGAACCCGAAAGCUGAGACAAGUUCCUUCCUCUGCCGCAAUCGCAAGACGCAGAAGUCAGCCGCGCACCCAACGCAACAUCAACAUAUUUUACUCCUCGGUCGACGAGUUGGCACGCCCCGCACACAAUCGAAUGACGUAGUUAGCUCAUAGAUUACUCGGCAUGCGCGCCACAUAGGCUUGGUAGAUUUUAGGGUCAACAGAUUCAAAAUUAAUUUACUUAUAUUUUACUAUAAAUAUAGAUAAAUUAUUUUUAACAUGCAUAUAUAAUAACAAAUAAAAAAUGCCUAAUCUAUGUAAAAUAAUUUACCUACAACAUAAAGAACAUUAAUUGGUUUUAUUUUUUAUUUUUUAUCAAACAAUAUUAUUUGAUGCAAAAUAACUGAUUAUACAAAGGAUUUUCAUUUUUCAUACGAAAAAUGUGCCCAUAAUUGUUUAUGAAUAUGGAUAAAUUAGUGUAUAUAUAUACAUGUUACUAAUAUUUAUGAUACAAGAAAGGUAAAUUUCCAUAUGGGGUUAAUUGCUAAUCAUAAUUAGGGUGAGUAAUAAUAUUUAUUGACAUAAUUAGGGUUUUGUGGCAUAAGUUGUAAAUAUGUUGUAAUAAUUGGUUACAUAUUUGUCUACAUGGUAGUCUAUUUGAAUUUUGGGUUUUAUUUGAAUAUUUAUUACUGGGUGGGUUUUUGUUUGGAAAAUAGGAGUUUCAAGGGCCUUUAUCUAAAGAACUGACACACCCCGAUCCUAGAAUCAAGGUGUGCUGGCCGUCACGUGAGCGUGACGUAACCAAAAGAGCGAUACGGAAGUAAAAGAUAAAAGAAAUACGAAGGAAUAAAAACCAACUACUAGCAAUAAUAUCCAACUAACAUGCUAGAGUGAGUUUAAGUGUGAAACACACAUAUUCAGAGCAUAAGUACUAAGUGCAGUCAAGUAGAACCAUUACUAAAUUACAACACCCGAAAGUGAGUCCUACAUUUAAGUGGUCUAUCAUAACGCCAUGGGAAUCCUCGUGAGCCACCAACAUUGCUAACUAGAACCUGGAGGGGGCAAAACAAGAUUGAGUGGGUCAGUAAAACAAAUCUUUUUCAAAAACAUUAUCUUUUUUCAAAGGUUCUAACCCCUCGCCGUAAAACCUAUAACUUUCCCAGGAAUAUAAAAAUAUAAUUACUUAUCUCAAAACCAGCUCAGAAAUAGUGAUAUGUAAAGUAUAUGCCAUGUUAAAUAUAUUUCAUCAUAUCAUAAGUAUAUCAGUGAAGUUCAUCAUAAAUAAUAACAUGUCAACCGAGUGAUCAGCCCGGCUGAAACUAUAGCUCAUAAUCAAUCUCAUCAAUCAAUCUAGCCGGAGUCACCACAAG
rnacentral:lncRNA from 1 species